AGAUGCUCUUAGCUGCUUGGGCUGAGGGUCACAGGCAUGUGUACUUCCGUUUCCGGUGUGUCCUGAAGCCAUGGCCACCGCCAGGACACCGAGAUUUCUGCUGCUGUUCUGCAGAUCGUGCCACAGCCUUCGAGGACCCCAGUCCCGAGCGUACGCCGCCCUUGUGCCCGGUGUGUCCCAGGUAGACAACGGGUCCGAUUUCCUGGGGAAGAAGCCCCAUCGUAAGCAUCCCGGCAUCCUGCAUCUUCCGCACGUCCAGCUGCCGCAAGCACUGGCUGACGCCGCACAGUUAAUGCUUUUUGGUGAGAAACUGCGGGAAGGGGAAAGCCAGAUAAAACCAAAGGAGGCCAGCACGUAGCGAUGACCCUUUCCAUCUGUGACCACAGAGACACCCAUGCGCAGUAUAGAGAAACAAGUGCAAGCACUCACCAACUAUCUCUGGAGCCGACAUUUACCUGUAGAGCCGGAGGAGUUGCAAAGACGGGCUGCGUAUCUUGAGAAAAAAUUCCUGGAAAAACAAGACUCAGCUCCCACAGAGGAGAAACUUCGUGAGGCAGUACUGCAUGCCCUGCGCAAAACUACCUACCAUUGGCAGGAACUCAGCUACAGUGAAGAGCUGAGUCUGAUCUAUAUGGCAGCAAGAUUGGAUGGUGGUUUUGCUGCAGUUUUCAGGGCGUUCCAUGAGAUCCAGGCUCGAAUCCCAGAGUUUCGGCCACAAACGUUAAUGGACUUUGGGUCUGGCACUGGUUCUGUUGCCUGGGCUGCCCACAGUACUUGGGGCCAGAGCCUCCGUGAAUACAUGUGUGUGGACAGUUCAGCUGCCAUGUUGGGUUUGGCCGAGAAGCUCCUGAAGGGUGGUUCAGAAGCAGGGAAGCCCUGUAUCCCAGGUGUCUUUUUCAGACAGUUUCUACCUGUGUCACCCAAGGCAAGUUGCAAGUAGGCUGUUCUCAGAUACAAUGUGGCACACAAGACAGCAAUGGCCUCAGCCGUGAAAUCCAUCAUUUUUGUGUUAGAAGAUAAAAGAAGCAAUAGAAGACAUUUAAAACUAGGCAUCACAGUGCACACCUAUAAUCUCAGCACUCAGGAGCUAAGGCAGGAGGAUUACUGUCCAGUUUGAUGUGGUGGUAUCAGCCUACGCCCUCAGUGAACUACCCAGCAGGGCUGAUCGCAUUGAGGUCAUUCAGAACUUGUGGCGGAAGACAAGCCAUUUUCUGGUAUUGGUGGAGAACGGAACCAAAGCUGGGCACCGACUUCUUAUGGAUGCCAGGAACCUGGUCCUCGGGGAAAAAGAGAAGUCACCUUUGGACCUUCGACCUAGCUUUGUCUUUGCCCCAUGUCCCCAUGAACUUCCCUGUCCUCAGCUGAAUGCCUCCAAGUCCCUGGCCUGUAGCUUCUCCCAGGCUUAUCAUCCAAUCCCCUUUAGCUGGAAUAAGAAACCAAAGGAGGAAAUAUUCUCUAUGCUAAUCCUUGCCAGGGGGUCUCCAAAGGAAGCUAACCGCUGGCCCCGAAUCACGCAGCCCGUCCUUAAACGGCCUCGCCAUGUGCAUUGCCACCUCUGUUGUCCAGACGGGCACAUGCAGCACGCUGUGGUGACAGCCCGUCGGCACGGCAGGGAUUUGUACCGCUGUGCCCGUGUUAGCUCCUGGGGAGACCUUUUACCUGUGAUCGCUCCAUCCGAGUUUCCUCCUUCGUCCCCUGAUGAAGAGCCCCCUGAGAAUUGACAAGGAUGUAUAACAAGUGUUCCUUUCCAUCACACCUGCCAAGGGCAAAGCUACCUGGUAUCCAGGAAGAGGGCUCUGGUACCCCGUGCUUGUGCUUGUUUGAAAUUUUAAUAAUAAAUGUUUGUAAAGAA